UGCGUUCUUCUAAGUUCCCAUGGCAUGAUUCAAACGGCAAACCGCAUUAUCGGAAUAGAUAAUUGUUUUUAUAGAUUUUUCGUGUUUUAGUUUUUUGUGUAGUUUUGUUAAACAACAAAAGAACGUGUUUUUGUUUUAAUCUACUAUUCAGAGUGACGGUGCGCUAAGCUUGGAAAACUAUUUGCUGAAGAUAUGACAGUGAUCUAACGCAAGUAGUUUUCUUAUUCCUGGAACGACCAACACCUUAAAGGCACAUGCUUGGACUAAAUAUUGUUGGGCAGAUCAAGACUGGUCAUCUGCGGUAGAACUGCGUUAAUUUUAUACCAAUAAAGGUUUUAUGUGGUUUUAUGUGAAUCUUAUGAUUCUCGUGAAGUGGAGGAACUACUGAAUGUGGCCAACCAGAACACAGAUCACAGAUCACACGAGCAUCACUGAACUGUUUAUGUUGGAAGAGCCACUCAUACAAAUAGAUAAUUUGCAGAUACAGUAGGUUGUACUUAACAACUGCAACUUAACAAGCACAAAAGUGUGCAAUUCUCAGAGGCACCUAUACUAAACUCUACUUACAAUAAACAGAGGAACUCCCCACUGGAGCUUAUGCUAACAUGCAUGCUCACGCAAGCUCAUGUUGGGACGAAAAACACAAACAAAACAACAGAUAGUGCAGAUAAUUAUGAUUACGGUGCCAAUCACUUACAAAUAGAUACCGAAAUAGUAAUAUAAAUAGAAAUAGAUGCAGCUGAAGCAGUAGAGCAGGCAAAGUCAGAGGGAAAGGCUUGUGCAUAUGUGUGUGGCUUUUUACAGUGGCGUGCACUUCAUAGAUGCUAAAAUGCACUGCCUACCCUUUGGACUCCUUACCAAACUGUAAUAGAGAAGAAAUUUUCCAUCCUAUUUACGUAUAAUUCUUACCCUAGGUGAAAACUUUGUGCACGCCAAUGGCUUUAUAUUUAAAAGUAAGUAGUAGUAGGGGAGCCGAAGAGGGGAUUUUUGCAGU
rnacentral:lncRNA from 1 species